rnacentral:snRNA from 1 species
UUAAAUACGCGACGGGGUA